CCUACGGGUGGCUGCAGUGGGGAAUAUUGCACAAUGGGCGAAACCCUGAUGCAGCGACGCCGCGUGAGUGAAGAAGUAAUUCGUUAUGUAAAGCUCUAUUAGUAGGGAAGAAAAUGACGGUACCUGAGAAAGUAGCCCCGGCUAACUACGUGACAGCACCCGUGGUAAUACGUAGGGGGCAAGCGUUAUCCGGAUUUACUGGGCGUAAAGGGAGUGUAGGUGGACUUUUAAGUGAGAUGUGAAAUGCUCGGGCUCAACUUGAGUGCUGCAUUGCAAACUGGAAGCCUAGAGUGCAGGAGAGGAGAGUGGAAUUCGUGGUGUAGCGGUGAAAUGCGUAGAGAUUAGGAAGAACACCGGUGGCGAAGGCGGUUCUCUGGACUGUAACUGACGCUGAGGCUCGAAAGCGUGGGGAGCAAACAGGAUUAGAUACCCGAGUAGUC
rnacentral:rRNA from 1 species